GCUAAACGAAAAGGUAGAGUGAUUUGGAGAGGUGUGGUGUGUGGAAUUCACGUUGUAAUUGGUCGGACACAGUGAAUGAGCAUGUGUUUGUUGGAAAUUGACGUGUGUCCGCCACAUCCAACUCAUGCGUGCCUCGUGGGACCAAACAUAUUCUAGGUAGUUACUCCAAUUGCUUGACACAAGGCAAACCCCAUCCCAUCAGGAUACAAAAGAGAAUUGGGAAGAUAGUUGUGGGGGGCCUUUGUGACAGAUGGUUCACGGAUACACCACAAAGGAUAUGUUGGAAAUUGGAAUAUAGGUUAACUUAAUUCUAUAGUGCACAACUAAAAUAGUGUGAUAUACUCUUACCAUUAAAUCAAUAAAUUUAAUUCACUCUUCUUUUAAAGGUUGAUUUAUUGAGACUUAAAUUCGUGCAUAAUGUAACACUUAUUUCAAAUGUGUAAUGUAGAACUGGUAUAGUUACUUUUCA